GACGAACGCUGGCGGCGUGCUUAACACAUGCAAGUCGAACGGAAAGGCCCUGCUUUUGUGGGGUGCUCGAGUGGCGAACGGGUGAGUAACACGUGAGUAACCUGCCCUUGACUUUGUGAUAACUUCAGGAAACUGGGGCUAAUACCGGAUAGGAGCUCCUGCUGCAUGGUGGGGGUUGGAAAGUUUCGGCGGUUGGGGAUGGACUCGCGGCUUAUCAGCUUGUUUGUGGGGUAGUGGCUUACCAAGGCUUUGACGGGUAGCCGGCCUGAGAGGGUGACCGGCCACAUUGGGACUGAGAUACGGCCCAGAAUCCUACGGGAGGCAGCAGUGGAGAAUAUUGCACAAUGGGCGGAAGCCUGAUGCAGCAACGCCGCGUGCGGGAUGACGGCCUUCGGGUUGUAAACCGCUUUCGCCUGUGACGAAGCGUGAGUGACGGUAAUGGGUAAAGAAGCACCGGCUAACUACGUG
rnacentral:rRNA from 1 species